AUUGAACGCUGGCGGCAGGCCUAACACAUGCAAGUCGAGCGGCAGCGGGAAAGUAGCUUGCUACUUUUGCCGGCGAGCGGCGGACGGGUGAGUAAUGCCUGGGGAUCUGCCCAGUCGAGGGGGAUAACAGUUGGAAACGACUGCUAAUACCGCAUACGCCCUACGGGGGAAAGGAGGGGACCUUCGGGCCUUUCGCGAUUGGAUGAACCCAGGUGGGAUUAGCUAGUUGGUGGGGUAAUGGCUCACCAAGGCGACGAUCCCUAGCUGGUCUGAGAGGAUGAUCAGCCACACUGGAACUGAGACACGGUCCAGACUCCUACGGGAGGCAGCAGUGGGGAAUAUUGCACAAUGGGGGAAACCCUGAUGCAGCCAUGCCGCGUGUGUGAAGAAGGCCUUCGGGUUGUAAAGCACUUUCAGCGAGGAGGAAAGGUUGUUGGCUAAUACCCAGCAACUGUGACGUUACUCGCAGAAGAAGCACCGGCUAACUCCGUGCCAGCCGCCGCCGUAAAAC
rnacentral:rRNA from 1 species